rnacentral:rRNA from 1 species
UACGAAGGGGGCUAGCGUUGUUCGGAAUCACUGGGCGUAAAGGGCGCGUAGGCGGCCUGCUAAGUCGAACGUGAAAUCCCCGGGCUCAACCCGGGAACUGCGUCCGAUACUGGCAGGCUUGAAUCCGGGAGAGGGAUGCGGAAUUCCAGGUGUAGCGGUGAAAUGCGUAGAUAUCUGGAGGAACACCGGUGGCGAAGGCGGCAUCCUGGACCGGCACUGACGCUGAGGCGCGAAAGCCAGGGGAGCAAACGGG